UACAUAGCCCUCAACUAUCCUGUAGAAAAUUCAUGGCAUAGAGACUGAUAUAAGUGCAUGGUUAUUGUUGCAGUGACACUAAACACUAAACAGUUAACCUUAAAGUUAGCUGCUCAAUCGUUCUCAUUGUUUUGGUAGAAAGCAAUUAUGCCAAUAAGUUAUGUUGUGUUUGUUUACACUGUCUUAAGUGCACUCUAGAAAAUGUGUGUGUGUGUGUGUGUGUGUGUGUGGUGUAGAUUUCUCGAAAGAAGUUCAGGCCUUGCCCCUCCUGCCAAGCACCUAACCAGGUGAGCCGCAAAACCUGCAGCUCUUGUUUCGCAGCCAUCUCCCAAAAAAGAAAGUAGCGGCCAAAAAAGUGACCCUGGACAGGAAGUGGGGGGAAAGGGUCCUAAAAAACAGAAAUGCAGGAAGAGUGGUGGACUCUGCCCAUAUUGCAGUGAAAAAACUAAGUGCAUUAGGCUAUGUCCCAAUUCUAUUUUUCGCAAAGAAAGAUAAGGCCUCUGGAAAGUGGGUGUCUGAUGUGGUGACCCAUCUGCUACCCACUGAGGACAACCUAAAAAUUGUGGCCACCAUGAGAAAGGCCUACAAUUUUGUAUUGAUCAAAGAAGGGAACUCCACGACGACAUUGCCCGAUCCACA